UGCAUUCACUACUGUAAGUCGCUCUGGAUAAGGGUGUCUGCUAAAUGACUAAAA
rfam:Salmo salar isolate Sally breed double haploid chromosome ssa07, whole genome shotgun sequence.